rnacentral:rRNA from 1 species
GAUGAACGCUAGCGAUAGGCUUAACACAUGCAAGUCGAGGGGCAGCAUAGGAGUAGCAAUACUUUGGUGGCGACCGGCGCACGGGUGAGUAACACGUAUGCAACCUGCCCAUAACUGGGGGAUAACCCGUCGAAAGGCGGACUAAUACCGCAUGACACCGUUUCACUGCAUGGUGAGACGGUUAAAGAUUUAUCGGUUAUGGAUGGGCAUGCGUUCCAUUAGGUAGUUGGUAGGGUAACGGCCUACCAAGCCUACGAUGGAUAGGGGUUCUGAGAGGAAGGUCCCCCACACUGGUACUGAGACACGGACCAGACUCCUACGGGAGGCAGCAGUGAGGAAUAUUGGUCAAUGGGCGAGAGCCUGAACCGGCCAAACCGCGUGAAGGAUGAAGGUAUUAUGUAUCGUAAACUUCUUUUGUCAGGGAAUAAAGUGCAGCACGUGUGCUGUUUUGUAUGUACCUGAAGAAUAAGGAUCGGCUAACUCCGUGCCAGCCGCCGCCGUAAAAC